AACGAACGCUGGCGGCAUGCCUAACACAUGCAAGUCGAACGAAGGCUUCGGCCUUAGUGGCGCACGGGUGCGUAACGCGUGGGAAUCUGCCCUUUGGUUCGGAAUAACAGCUGGAAACGGCUGCUAAUACCGGAUGAUGACGAAAGUCCAAAGAUUUAUCGCCAGAGGAUGAGCCCGCGUUGGAUUAGGUAGUUGGUGGGGUAAAGGCCUACCAAGGCGACGAUCCAUAGCUGGUCUGAGAGGAUGAUCAGCCACACUGGGACUGAGACACGGCCCAGACUCCUACGGGAGGGAGCAGUGGGGAAUAUUGGACAAUGGGCGCAAGCCUGAUCCAGCAAUGCCGGGUGAGUGAUGAAGGCCCUAGGGUUGUAAAGCUCUUUUACCCGGGAAGAUAAUGACUGUACCGGGAGAAUAAGCCCCGGCUAACUCCGUG
rnacentral:rRNA from 1 species